rnacentral:tRNA from 1 species
GUUUGGUUAGUUUAGUUGGUAAGGGCUCCACGGGAAAUGGAGAGGUCCUUGGUUCGAUACCAGGACCAGGCG